AUACAUGUAUAUGUAUAUAUGCAUGAAUAUGUGUGUGUGUUUGUUUAUGCAUGUGUCACCUUGUCUUGACAUCAUAUGAUAGUUAUAAACAAGCGUCACCAUACAAGCAGUGUUGUUCAUUUUCAAUCCUCCAUAAAAACAUGCCUGGCUAUGAGGAGAUAUCACCUUACUUAAAAACAGGUUCAGGUUACAACAGGAAGAGCAUCCAGCUGUAGAAAAUCUGCCUCAAUAAAUUCUUUCUGACCUAUGCAAGUAUGGAAAAGUGGGCAUUAAAAUGAUGAUGACGAUGACGAUGAUGAUGAUGAUGAUGAUACAAACAGCACACACACACACAUUUUCCUUCUCUUCAUUGUCAUUUUAAUAUCCAUUUCUGUUGUAUUGGCAUAGGUUGGAUAAGUCUGCACUGCAGCAAGCAUAUUACCAUUCUUUAUGUUGUGCCAUCUCAUUUGUGAAUCUUAACGUUCUGAGAUCCAACAUCUUCACCUACUCUAUGUUGCUCUACCAUUUUUUGCUUCCACUGAUGCUUCAGUCAAAUAACUUGGCAUACAUCAUCCACUCAAAUCACAUGUCCUGUAUGUUUCAGAUGAUAUCUUUAAUGCCUGAACCAUUCUCUGACCUCUCCCAAUCAUCCACAUUUGUCUCUCUCUGCCACAUAGCGUAUUUUCGUAUACAUAUUUCCUGCAGAGAGGAAAGCUUUCUAAACAAUUCCUUAAAUCUCUAGUUACUAUGCCCUUAUAAUUACUUUUUAUGCUAAUCAGAUCACUUCAAUAACACACCACCAUCUAUGUCUAGUGAGCUGUCUGAAAUUAUGUUCAAGCAUUCCAGGGCUUAUAUUUCAAGAGUGCUAUGUCUGUAUAUCUUUCAUCUCUGCAGCCCUGGUCCUCUCUCUAAUAACCUACCAGAGAUUUCACUUCAUCUUUAGUAUGCACACAUUGUUUGUACUAAAUAUACACCAUCAGGUUCCUAUCUAUUCCCUUCCUAUAUACUGAGUAAGGCCACAACUGAAAUGGUUCUGGUAUUUUGUGUUUUCUUUCACUAAUUAGCACUUUGUAUUUUACUAUGUUGACUGUUGGGCCUUUGGAUCAUUCUUUAAGGUUUGAAAUUUUCUACACAUGAUCAACAAAUUUUACAAUGAGAUCUGGAUCAUCUAGCAUAUAGAAUAUCCCAAAAACAACCAACUUUGAACACAUACAGUAUUAUAUCCUCAUUCUCUAUAAUGAAUAGUUGUAGGAGGCGGAGGACAGAGUUCUGGUUAACACCUACCUCAUAGAAUUCACUGCAGGUGUUUAUUUAUGUAUAUUCUAGCUUUGGCAUCUUUUCUUUGCAAUGUCUUUUGUUUUUUUUAACUUUCUUUCUCUCAUUUUAUCCCUUUUAUCUCUCUCGCUCUCUCUCUCUCUAACAAAUAUUUUUCACUCAUGCUAAUGAAACAGCAUCAACAUGGUUGCACAGCCUGUUAGUAUCUGCAACCAGUUCUCCACCAAGUCCCAUCCUGCUGUUUUAAAUGUUCCCCCAUAUUGUAGAUCUGUUCAAUCAGGGCUUGGUAAAAACAGCAGCAACAUCUCUCAAGCUUGGGUAUCAAAUGUAAUUUAAGUUUUCUGCAUCUUCACUACUCAUGUCACUUGUUAAUUCCAUUAUAGAAAAGUGCAGUUUUUGAGGUGCAUUGCCGGCUCUGAAGAGUUCAGGUACUAAUCUUUUUGGGUGCCCUCACAAAACAGGUUCAAGAUCUUGCCAUAAAGAUGUAAUCUUAAAUUUUGUAAUAUAAAUGAAAUUAAAUGCAAAUUUCCUAAUAUAAUAUUUAAUUAUAAUAUAUAUAUAUGUGUGUGUGUAUAGAGAGAGAGAGAGAGGGAAGGAAUAAGUAGGUAAUUCUUUAUAUCAUGGUUAUUAACAAGAAACCAAGUAGAUGCUAGUAAUGUUCACUUGAUGUAAAGUAGCAGCAGUAAUGGAAAUGGUGAAAAAAAAAUAUGUAUAUGUGUAUAUAUAUGUAUGUGUGUGUAUUUGUAUAUAUAUAAAUAUGAUUCGUAUACACAUGCAACAGUAUUGGUGGAACAUGUUACCAACCAGCUGUACUGAGGCAUACAUGCUAGUGUGUCUUGCAAUGAUGCCUUUAACAUUAUAUAUCGAUAGUAUCGUUUGAAUUUGCAGAUAUGUUAUCAUUAGGGAAUAUUUUGCUGCUUUUUAUCAAACACACAGAUUUGAUACUUCAACACAUUGUCAGAACAAGCAGAGCAACUCCCUGUCGUUAUAACAUCAACCACUUCCCAGUGCACCAAUGGAACGGUCUGUUUCUCAAGUGGAUGUCAAAUCACAGUACACGUGGGAAAGAAAGAUGAACAAUGCUUGCAUGUGGUAGGCUUGAACCUGUGAACCCAGCAUUUAAACAACAGCAACCUAACAACAUAUACCCAUAUUUGUUCUGUAUUAUCUUCUUUUUCUUGCAUCUAUUUUGGUCAUUUUGUAUUUUGUUUUUUCUUCUUUUCUCUUUACUUUUCUUUCAUCUGUUUUCUUUUUUAUUUUCCUCUUCUGACCUCCACCUCCUUCACUGGGGAUGGUCAUUAUGUUGAUCACAGGCAAUGGAGAUUCACCAAUAUGGAACCUAAUAUCACCACUCUUUGCAUACACACACACACACACACACAUUUACACUCUGAAUUACCAGAGAAGAAAGGGUAGGCCUACCCUUCAACCUAAUGUUAACAUUACCCUCUCCCUCCCAACCCUGAAAACUUCACAUUGAUGUUUGCUGUGCCCUCUUCCAUUCCAACACUUAUCUUAGGUUCAUAUGUAAUUUUCUAUAAAUAUGUUAAAAUUUAAUAUUGAUACUGACAAAUUCACUGCCACCAUCUUCAACCAAAAUCAUCAUCACCAUCCCUUUCAAACCAAAAUAACUACCACCCCCUCCUCCUCUUCCUCCUUUUUCAAACUUUUUUCCUUUGUUUUCUUUUGCUCUUGAUUUCCAAGAUUAUAAGAAAAUCCUAUUUCCUAAUGAAUAAAAAUAAAAUCCUGUUUUAUUAUCACCUGUU